UCCGUGUUGGUGUAGGGGUCAACAUUGCUGCCUCUCACUCUUACGUAAUCAGUGCCUAUUACGUAAUGUGGUCGCAGCAGCCCGGGGUUCGAUUCCCCGACACGGAA